CGCACAUUGCGCCCCGUGGUAUUCCGCGGGGCAUGCCUGUUCGAGCGUCAUUUCACCACUCAAGCCCCGCUUGGUAUUGGGCGCCGCGUGCCACCGCUCGCGCGCCUCAAAGUCUUUCCGGCUGAGCUGUCCGUCUCCCAGCGUUGUGAACUUCAGUUUCGCUACGGAGUGCGGGCGGCCGCGGCCGUUAAAUCUUUACACAGGUUGACCUCGGAUCAGGUAGGGAUACCCGCUGAACUUAA
rnacentral:misc_RNA from 1 species